AUUGAACGCUGGCGGCGUGCUUAACACAUGCAAGUCGUGCGGUAACAGGCGUAGCAAUACGUGCUGACGAGCGGCGAACGGGUGCGUAAUACAUGGGAAUCUGCCUUUUAGUGGGGAAUAGCCCGGCGAAAGCGGGCUAAUGCCGCAUAAGAUCUUCGGAUGAAAGCGGGGAGUCGUAAGAACUCGCGCUGAUAGAUGAGCCACUGCCGGAGUUAGUCAGUUGGUGAGGUAACGGCUCACCAAGG
rnacentral:rRNA from 1 species